rnacentral:rRNA from 1 species
UUGGAGGGCAAGUCUGGUGCCAGCAGCCGCGGUAAUUCCAGCUCCAAUAGCGUAUAUUAAAGUUGUUGCAGUUAAAAAGCUCGUAGUUGAAUUUCGGGAUCAGUAGGUUGGUCAUGCCUAUGGUAUGUACUGGCUUUACUGGUUCCUCCUUCUUGAUGAUCUGUAAUGUCAUUAAUUUGGUGUUGCAGGGAGUCAGGACUGUUACAUUGAAAAAAUUAGAGUGUUUAAAGCAGGCAUACGCUUGAAUACAUUAGCAUGGAAUAAUGAAAUAGGACGUUCGAACCUAUUUUGUUGGUUUCUAGGAUUGACGUAAUGAUUAAUAGGGAUAGUUGGGGGCAUUAGUAUUCAAUUGUCAGAGGUGAAAUUCUUGGAUUUAUUGAAGACUAACUACUGCGAAAGCAUUUGCCAAGGAUGCUUUCAUUAAUCAAGAACGAAAGUUAGGGGAUCGAAGACGAUCAGAUACCGUCGUAGUCUUAACCAUAAAUUAUGCCGACUAGGGAUCGGACGAUGUUAUUUUUUGACUCGUUCGGCACCUUACGGGAAAC